rnacentral:rRNA from 1 species
CGACCACAACGGUGGAGCCUGCGGUUUAAUUGGACUCAACGCCGGGCAGCUCACCGGAUAAGACAGCUGGAUGAUAGCCGGGCUGAAGACUCUGCUUGACUAGCUGAGAGGAGGUGCAUGGCCGUCGUCAGUUCGUACUGUGAAGCAUCCUGUUAAGUCAGGCAACGAGCGAGACCCACGCCAACAGUUGCCAGCAUGUCCUCCGGGAUGAUGGGGACACUGUUGGGACCGCCUCUGCUAAAGAGGAGGAAGGAAUGGGCAACGGUAGGUCAGCAUGCCCCGAAUUAUCCGGGCUACACGCGGGCUACAAUGGUCAGGACAAUGGGUAUCGACACCGAGAGGUGGAGGCAAUCUCCUAAACCUGUCCUUAGUUCGGAUCGUGGGCUGCAACUCGCCCACAUGAAGCUGGAAUCCGUAGUAAUCGCGUUUCAAAAUAGCGCGGUGAAUAUGUCCCUGCUCCUU